rnacentral:rRNA from 1 species
UACGAAGGGUGCAAGCGUUACUCGGAAUUACUGGGCGUAAAGCGUGCGUAGGUGGUUCGUUAAGUCUGAUGUGAAAGCCCUGGGCUCAACCUGGGAAUGGCAUUGGAUACUGGCGACCUAGAGUGCGGUAGAGGGUGGCGGAAUUCCCGGUGUAGCAGUGAAAUGCGUAGAUAUCAGGAGGAACACCGAUGGCGAAGGCAGGUCUCUGGGCCGCAACUGACGCUGAGACGCGAAAGCGUGGGGAGCGAACAGG